rnacentral:rRNA from 1 species
CCUACGGGCGGCUGCAGUGGGGAAUAUUGGGCAAUGGGCGCAAGCCUGACCCAGCAACGCCGCGUGAAGGAAGAAGGCUUUCGGGUUGUAAACUUCUUUUGACAGGGAAGAGCAGAAGACGGUACCUGUCGAAUAAGCCACGGCUAACUACGUGCCAGCAGCCGCGGUAAUACGUAGGUGGCAAGCGUUGUCCGGAUUUACUGGGUGUAAAGGGAGCGCAGGCGGCACGCUAAGCCUGAUGUGAAAACCCGCGGCCCAACCGCGGGAGUGCAUUGGGAACUGGCGGGCUGGAGUACCGGAGGGGCAGGCGGAAUUCCUAGUGUAGCGGUGAAAUGCGUAGAUAUUAGGAGGAACACCAGUGGCGAAGGCGGCCUGCUGGACGGAGACUGACGCUGAGGCUCGAAAGCGUGGGGAGCAAACAGGAUUAGAUACCCCAGUAGUC